AUUAUUUCAUAUCGAAUGAAAAAGUGGUGGCGCCAUACGGAAACUUGUCCGUAAUGUUGAAUAUAAAUAGAGAACAUUAUAGUGGAGGUCGGAAACACAAGUUAACUUUCAAGAUCAAGAUCAAGACAAGAUGAAGACUGCAAAGAGUAAGAGAAGAUCUAACCCGUUCUCUUGCAGAGUCCCACCCCUCGUACCGCCCCCAUCCCCAACAACGUUCGUUAAUCUUGUUGAUGUUGUCCUUAUACUUGUCUAUCUUUCAUGGUGACUUCAAGCUGUCUCUGCAUUUCUUGAGUUGCAUAUUGGUCGAAGCCAGUGAUGCUUUUUAAUUAGGAGACUAGUCUUACUGGAAAAUUCUGACAGAGUCGAUACUUCAUGUCGUCAGUUGUUGUCAUGCAUUUUUCAAGAGACGUCAAAUUUGUAAAUUAAGAUAAGAAAUCCUACUCAAACGUAUUCGUGAUUACUUGCAAUAAAUUCUUAAACUAGCAAAUUGUUUGAGUGUAGGCCUAUAAACCAAAACAUAAUCAUAAUAGCACAACUAAUAGUUUUUGCGCUUUGUGCAUUGGGUAUAACACUCAGCAUCAUAAGUGUUACUAAGAAAGAACAGCAUUCAAGUAAAUAGUCCAGUCAAAUAAACAAUCAUUGAUGAUUUACCUUAGAUUAACGAGUAGUACAUAUAGAAUUUAUCAAAGCUAAAUUGUCAUUUACAUAUUUCAUCAGCAUUACAGCAAUUUUAAGUGUUGAUACUUUAAGAAUAAUUAACAGUUUAAUAAAACCAAUAGUGAAAAUUAUAAAUACAAACGUUUGGUUCUCAACUUUCCUUGUAAGCUUGUAACUUGCAUAACCCACUACCAUAGUGUUUAUUAUUUAUUGUAAGUAAUAUUGCGUUCAAAUAGGAGAAAAAAAGUAAGCAAAUAAAUAAUUCAAGAAAUGAUUUCAGCAGUGUAACUGUUCUCUUUUGCUGCAGCGCCUUGUAAUUGUAUCUUGUGCAAAAACCCAUCAGUGGUAAAGAAGUAAUCAUCUCUGUAUGCAACACUCAUUUGAUGGUUAAUGUUUGAUUUAGGAAUUAUAGUAAAUGUAUAAUUUAGACAAGCUAAAUUUAUAUUUUCAUGUUCCUAAUAUCAAAACAAAAUGUUUCUAAAACAAAACAAAAUAAACAAAUAAAUAAGUAGCAAAUGAAGUGUUAGCGAUAAUAAAAGUAAAGAAACACCAACUUUAAUUCUGACCUACUUUCCUUAACUGCUGCAUGCAUCUCGGUGUUUGAAAGAAGCAAGCAUCCAGGUAUUCAACACUCAUUUGAUAUUAAUGCUUGAUUUAGGAUUUCUUGUAAACAUUUAAUUUAGACCAACUAAAUUAAUAUUUACAUGUUCCUAACAUCAACAUGUUAUCAAUUUCGGGUGCAGAAUUGUUUUUAUAAAGCAAAAAAAGAAAAAAAAAAAAAACACCAAUAGGGCAAUAAGUAUUCAACAAACUAAUUGUAGCGAUAUUGAUGUUAACCUAAAUUUUGAUUGUGCACUUUCCCUCACGCUGCUGCUUUUUGUACUUUAUGUAUAAGCCCAAAACUACGUUAAUAAGAAUAGGCAGUCUCAUCAGCAAUCAUUUGAUGAUCAAUGUUUGAUUAAGGAGUUGUACAUAGAUUAUUUAGACUAUAUGAAUAAAUACUUACAUAGUCCCAAUAUCAACAUUACAUCAUCUGUCAAUGUUGACAUUUUCUACUUAAAUUACAUAUAUUUAAUUUUCGAAAAAAUCUGGGGAAAAAAUUUGGAAAAAAAAACCUCGCUGAGGCUGUAGUCCUUGCUAGAGAUCAGGGGAAAUACAUCUCCACAAUUGUUUGUGAUCUGAGCGCUGCGCGAUAAACAAAAUCGAGAAAGAAAAAAAUGGGCAGAAAAAGAGGAUUGAAAAUAACGAAAGAGGAGCCAAGAUGCGAAGAGGAAUAACAAGUAGUUCAUCGGGAAAGAUGUCAAUGUGCCUGAGGUAAGUAUGAAUGGUAAGACAGUGAGGGCAUAGAUUAGAAUAGAUUAAAGUCUUGGUUGGCCUAGAGAUAAGACUAACUUUUAACCCAUUCAGCAGGUUCACUGGCUAUAGGUAAAGUAUAAGGUGUGACCGGUGUAGUACUUAGUCUUUUCAGAUGCAAAUCUUAUGUUCUGUUCUGUGACAAAAUACACAAAGUGUAAAAUUAGAAUAGUAUGAAACAAGUACCUAAACAAAAUGGCGUCUUGAACCAAACUAAGACCUACACCGUCAUCACCACACACAUAGCCCCUUUGAUGUCCUGGAUGGGUGACUGGAGUCCGGUGAGAUUGCCUGCUUGCAGAAAUGGCUAAGUAUAACUGGUGAAGUAUCAGACUAUUAGACCAGGUGAACCUCGUGUACAAUAUUAAGUGUGACCUUGUGCAUUCCUUGGCUAGUCUGGCAGGCAAGAUAUUGCACUGGUCAUAUGGGAAAGUUUACACUUUGUGUCAUAUUUUCCUCAUUAAUCCAAGAGUUAUGAAAAAGAUCUGGACAAGUUUUGAGAUGAGCCUUCUUUCAUCAAAUCAAAAGUCGAUAACAAUUGGACAGUGCAAUCGCCAUAUAAGAUUUUAUGUUUUCUUCCAUUAUGCUGUGUACAAAUCUUGCCUGUAGGAUUCCAGGCUUGAUGCACAAGUCCAAUUGUCUAACCUUGUGUCCGCAGCUUCUAACCUUUUGUCCGCAGCUCCUAACGUCUCUUUUACAAGAUAAUAACAUUGCUUUUGUUUGUUUUCCACAGAACGACCUGUUGGGGUGUCCGAUGACAUCGGUUUGAUUGUGAAGAAAAUGACACUGAUCUGAGAUGAUGUCCAUCGGGGAUUUUGGUCAUGCGAAGUAUUUGGUUAUGUAUCGAGUUAUGUAAGUUACUGGAAAAGAAAAACCUGCUUUGUGAGACGGCAACAAAAUCAAGAAAUUAAGAGAAGCAGGUUGUGAAGAAGUUGUCAAUGAGCCGAGGUAAUGUAAUGCCUUCCUGCAUGGACUUGGGUCAUACAAAAUUGAAGAUUGAAUUGAAACAACGACUUUGGAAAUAACCUACACAUAGUUUUGAGGCUAGUCGACGCUCUCGAGACUUUACCACCAGCUGAAAGACUACAUCAAGUCUACCCAGAUGACACUUCACUGAAGGUUCAAGUGACUGUGAAUGGGUGUAAUGCUAACCAAUUGUGCACCAACAGCCGAAGGACUAGAUCAAAUCUACCCGGAUGACUUUUCACUGCGUUGUCAAAUUUUGCCUACAAUUUGCUAUAGUCUUGUGUUCUUGUCAAAACAAGUUCUAAAAAGCAAGAAAAUUGCUAUAAAAUGCAACAAGACCUUGUGCCUUGUAUUCUUAAAAAAAUUGGCCCGAAAAUGCAAUAUAUUGGCUCUAAAAUGCAACAAGGCUAUAUAUAGCCUCAUGUACCCGCAAACUUUGCCUAAAAACCAACAAAUUUGCUCUAAAAUGCAACAAGGCUAUAGUCUUGUGUUGUUAACGAAAUGUUGCCAAAAAGUGCGGAAAUUUGCUCUAAAAUGCAACAAGGCUAUAGCCUUGUGUGCUUGUCAAAUUUUGCCUAAUAGUGCAACAAAUUUGCUCUUAAAUGCAACAAGGCUAUAUGCCUUGUGUUCUGAAGAAAUUGUGGCUGAAAAUGCAACGAACUUGCUCUAAAAUGCAACAAGGCCAUUGCCUUGUGGAUUUGUGAAAAGGUGCUAUUAUAAGCAAAACAUUUGCUUUAAAAUGCAAUAAGGCUUCAAGGCCUUGUGUAUACUUAUCAAAUUUCGCCUACAAGUGCAACAAAUUUGGUCUAAAAUACAACAACGCUCGUGUACUUGUCAAAAGGUGCUCUUAAUCGCAACAAAUUUGCUCUAAAUUACAACAA